rnacentral:lncRNA from 1 species
UUCAAACUCAUCACCACUCCAAAUUACUAAAAUAAAACAAACAGCUCAAGGAUCCCGUGAUAAUGGCAGUGGGUCACCCUUGCGCCAAAAGAUGAGGUGGUUGAGGGUGGGCAGUCCAUUUUAAGUCACUGCCGUUAAUAUACCCCACAGGUUUUGAAAUGAUUCUUCUUAAGAGCAUAGAAGGAGUUUAUUUUUCAUGCCUGUUCUUGAAAUAUGCUACAGAUGCUAUGGAAAACAAGGACAAGAAGUGGGAGGCAAGAGUUCUUAGAUGAGAUUUAUGAUAUUACUUGCCAAAGAGUUUUGGUCUUUGCUUUCUUAUAUUUCAAAAUUGUGUCCCACAGGUCUUAAUAACAACAGCUUGGAGUUAAUUGAGUGGCUGAUGAGAAAAACAUACGGUCCUCCCUGGCACCAGGGCCUCUGCUUGGCUCCCGUCCAACAUUCACUCCCAAAGGCCAAGGAGCUGUGGGACCAGAACCCCCCAUAUUUCUCUGGAAUUCCAAAUUGAAGGAAGAAAGAAAUUGAACUGAAUUUAAAAGAGGUCUCAGCCGUGGAAACGAAGCCUUCACAUGUCCCCUCAACCUUCAUGGAGUGAUGAGGAGGCCCUCGUUCUUGCUGUGACCUGCCAUUCCCAGGCAUCCUCCAGUCUACUUGCAGGGACCAAGGUGGAGGGCACACACGUGGGUAAGGUCAGGUGAGCCCAGUGGAGAAGCAUGAACCAGCUCAGUCUUAGACCCAGUUCCCCGAGUCUCCUGCCAGUGGUGAAUUUCAGCUGAUGUUAUUUAGGUUCUGCCGCCCCUGAGACAGCUCUCUCCUGUCUUUCACUUAAUUCUCACAAGUCCG